rnacentral:rRNA from 1 species
AGAGUUUGAUCCUGGCUCAGAUUGAACGCUGGCGGCAGGCCUAACACAUGCAAGUCGAACGGUAACAUUUCUAGCUUGCUAGAAGAUGACGAGUGGCGGACGGGUGAGUAAUGCUUGGGAACUUGCCUUUGCGAGGGGGAUAACAGUUGGAAACGACUGCUAAUACCGCAUAAUGUCUUCGGACCAAACGGGGCUUCGGCUCCGGCGCAAAGAGAGGCCCAAGUGAGAUCAGCUAGUUGGUAAGGUAACGGCUUACCAAGGCGACGAUCUCUAGCUGUUCUGAGAGGAAGAUCAGCCACACUGGGACUGAGACACGGCCCAGACUCCUACGGGAGGCAGCAGUGGGGAAUAUUGCACAAUGGGGGAAACCCUGAUGCAGCCAUGCCGCGUGUGUGAAGAAGGCCUUCGGGUUGUAAAGCACUUUCAGUUGUGAGGAAAAGUUAGUAGCUAAUACCUGCUAGCCGUGACGUUAACAACAGAAGAAGCACCGGCUAACUCCGUGCCAGCAGCCGCGGUAAUACGGAGGGUGCGAGCGUUAAUCGGAAUUACUGGGCGUAAAGCGCACGC